rnacentral:lncRNA from 1 species
UGAGUCCAUGAUUGAUGUAAUUAAAUAUUGAGUAAAAUGUUAGAUAGGAGUUGAAGGGUGGAGCAGUAGGUGAGAUGAACGGUGGUAGGUGAGGUGAAGGGGGAGGAGAUGGUCAGUGGCUAGUGUCACUGUAAUGGCGUUAAACAUGUUAAAUGGGCUUUGGUCUUCGCCAGGGAGAGAGAGAAUCACAGAACUUUGUACAGCUCAUGAAAUGGA